rnacentral:rRNA from 1 species
GACGAACGCUGGCGGCGUGCUUAACACAUGCAAGUCGAACGGAAAGGCCCUGCUUUUGUGGGGUGCUCGAGUGGCGAACGGGUGAGUAACACGUGAGUAACCUGCCCUUGACUUUGGGAUAACUUCAGGAAACUGGGGCUAAUACCGGAUAGGAGCUCCUGCUGCAUGGUGGGGGUUGGAAAGUUUCGGCGGUUGGGGAUUGACUCGCGGCUUAUCAGCUUGUUGGUGGGGUAGUGGCUUACCAAGGCUUUGACGGGUAGCCGGCCUGGGAGGGUGACCGGCGACAUUGGGACUUGAGAUACGGCCCAGACUCCUACGGGAGGCAGCAGUGGGGAAUAUUGCACAAUGGGCGGAAGCCUGAUGCAGCAACGCCGCGUGCGUGAUGACGGCCUUCGGGUUGUAAACCGCUUUCGCCUGUGACGAAGCGUGAGUGACGGUAAUGGGUAAAGAAGCACCGGCUAACUACGUG